GAGUUUGAUCCUGGCUCAGAUUGAACGCUGGCGGCAGGCCUAACACAUGCAAGUCGAGCGGUAGCACAGAGAGCUUGCUCUCGGGUGACGAGCGGCGGACGGGUGAGUAAUGUCUGGGAAACUGCCUGAUGGAGGGGGAUAACUACUGGAAACGGUAGCUAAUACCGCAUAACGUCGCAAGACCAAAGUGGGGGACCUUCGGGCCUCAUGCCAUCAGAUGUGCCCAGAUGGGAUUAGCUAGUAGGUGGGGUAAUGGCUCACCUAGGCGACGAUCCCUAGCUGGUCUGAGAGGAUGACCAGCCACACUGGAACUGAGACACGGUCCAGACUCCUACGGGAGGCAGCAGUGGGGAAUAUUGCACAAUGGGCGCAAGCCUGAUGCAGCCAUGCCGCGUGUAUGAAGAAGGCCUUCGGGUUGUAAAGUACUUUCAGCGAGGAGGAAGGCAUUAAGGUUAAUAACCUUGGUGAUUGACGUUACUCGCAGAAGAAGCACCGGCUAACUCCGUGCCAGCAGCCGCGGUAAUA
rnacentral:rRNA from 1 species